GCCGUUCCUCCGCCACGCGGUACCUUCUCGUCGAUAUCGACGACGGUUCGGUGGAAGCCGGUGGGAUUCCGGCACGGUCGCGCCACUGUAUUCCGGGUCCGCACCUCGGUGCGGGCCGGGUGAGUCAGACCCGCCCCGUCGUCAUGUGCACC
rnacentral:ncRNA from 2 species